UGAUCUUGUUUCAUGGAGGAAAAAUGUUUAUACAUCGUUAAAAAGACGUGCUGUAGUUGUUUACAAUGUUUCACCAACUUUCUUUUCAACCGUUAUCCCUGUAAAUACGUUGAGAUGUAAGUUUUUAUGGAUGUUACAUGUCUGUAUUGUUGCUGCUGGAAUACUCUCAUCACAAGACUGGUGGAGCUUACUCUUAUUGAAAAUUUACCUAACUGGUGUGAAGGUAGUCCUCGCUACUGUACUUUUGACCAGAACGUGAGCAUUCCCAUGGACUUAAAUAAACGUUGAACAUCUUUUU